GGGGAUGUAGCUCAGUGGUAAAGCACUCUGGGUUCAAUUCCCAGCACCCUCC
rnacentral:tRNA from 1 species